rnacentral:rRNA from 1 species
UACGUAGGGCGCGAGCGUUGUCCGGAAUUAUUGGGCGUAAAGAGCUCGUAGGCGGCUUGUCACGUCGGUUGUGAAAGCCCGGGGCUUAACCCCGGGUCUGCAGUCGAUACGGGCAGGCUAGAGUUCGGUAGGGGAGAUCGGAAUUCCUGGUGUAGCGGUGAAAUGCGCAGAUAUCAGGAGGAACACCGGUGGCGAAGGCGGAUCUCUGGGCCGAUACUGACGCUGAGGAGCGAAAGCGUGGGGAGCAAACAGG